rnacentral:rRNA from 1 species
AUUUGGCAUGGGGGANCUUGAUCCAGCCAUGCCCGCGUGAGUGAAGAAGGCCUUCGGGUUGUAAAGCUCUUUUGGUCGGGAAGAAAGGGUUUCCUUGAAUACGGGAGACUUUUGACGGUACCGGCAGAAUAAGCACCGGCUAACUACGUGCCAGCAGCCGCGGUAAUACGUAGGGUGCGAGCGUUAAUCGGAAUUACUGGGCGUAAAGAGUGCGUAGCCGGUUCGUUAUGUCUGCUGUGAAAGCCCCGGGCUNAACCCGGGAAUGGCAGUGGGAAACUGGCGGGGCUUUGAGUGUGGCAGAGGGGGUNGGAAUUCCGCGUGUAGCAGUGAAAUGCGUAGAGAUGCGGAGGANCACCGAUGGCGAAAGCGGCCCCUGGGUUAANCUUNACNCUNAAGCACCGAANNCUGGGGGGGCAAACAGGAUNAGAANCCCUUGNAGGCCAAGGNNNAUUNUGGNAAUUCCANUNAANUUGGGGG